GGAGUUGUAGCUCAGCGAUAGAGUGCUCACCUAGCACAUGUGAGGCCCUGGGUUCAAUCCUCAGCACCA
rnacentral:tRNA from 1 species